GCCCGUGUACUGUGAAAAGAUCUUCAGAGACAAUAAAGAAGCAAGCUGCCUAGGGCUACGUGUUGUAGGAAGGAAAAGGGCAAAGGGUCUUGCUAUGUACUCAGUCUGUCUUGAAAUAUUUUAUUCUCCUGCUCCAGGCUACUGGAGUUAUAGGCGGCACCACUAUGAGGGCUGCGGCCUCCGGACUGCUGCUUCCGAGCUCUCCAUCCCACUCUCUGCUGAAGGACUCGGCCGAGAAGACUAAAGUGAUG